rnacentral:rRNA from 1 species
CAUCCCGUCCGAUCUGGCAAGGUCAAGCAACGCUGAGUCCAGUUAGUACUUGGAUCGGAGACGGCGUGGGAAUCCUCGAUGUUGUAAGCU